rnacentral:rRNA from 1 species
UGCGUAGGCGGCGAGGUAAGUCGGAUGUGAAAUCCCGGGGCUCAACCCUGGAACUGCAUUCGAUACUGCCUUGCUCGAGGACUCGAGAGGAGAUUGGAAUUCACGGUGUAGCAGUGAAAUGCGUAGAUAUCGUGAGGAAGACCAGUGGCGAAGGCGGAUCUCUGGAGAGUUCCUGACGCUGAGGCACGAAGGCCAGGGGAGCAAACG